CAAGUCAGAGCUUGAAAAGCAUUUUAGUUACAUUAAAAAGGUCGUUAUGAAGGGUAAUGUGGCUUGA
rnacentral:tRNA from 1 species